AAGAAGUUUGUAAAAAAUGAAUCCCCCUCAACAAUAUAGAACUUAUCUACAACCUGUUGUGAUUAAUAUACAUUUAGAAGCUUUAGGUAUUCAUUUGUGAAGUGGGCAGGCUGGGUUCCAGUGGGCACUUUGAAACUGCGAAAAAAUUCAACAUCCCCCCAACUCAGAGGCCCCAAAAU